AGGUGAGGCAGGCUGGUGACCUGGACCAGGAGGGAGCAAUGGAAAUGGAGAACAGGAACCGCUUCAAGAUGUAUCCUGGAAGUAGAAGGGUCCUGGCAACACCUGCCCUCAGUCCCUUUCUCCAGACCCCGGCCCUGUUGACCAAGCUUGGUGCUUCCCUGUGUGGCCCACGGUGGCGUGGUGUGGCCCGUCUCCUUGGGAACUUACACUCAAGCAGGGCCACUAGGCCUCAAGAGAGUAUACCGAAAACUGGAAAAUGACCUUCUUGUCCUCUCUCUGCACUCUUCCUUCACAAGUGAGGGUUUCUGUGAUCACCACCUCUGCUGUUACCUUGGAGACCAGAGAAUAAAUAGAUUCCAAAUGCAGGUGGUGUCUUAUCCAAAUGAAGAUGCAACUUACAUUCUUCUUGAAAGACAAGGACAAUUCUCAAAGCAUCUUCUGAGGGCAGAGGACAACUGACACUUUGUACGGAUGCUGCGGAGACCAUCCUGAGCUGCUUGGCGCUGCCUGUGUGGAGACAGGUGAGUGUACACAGGCAUCAGCCACGCAAGGACCACCUGCAGACCCACGUUCCGCCUGUCCUGUCUCAGAGACAGAUGACUGCACCACGGCCAUGGAGUUUAUCGUACUUACAGCCCCUCAAAAGCAGGAAGGAGUUACAAGCAUACUGAGAGAUUAAAAUCUGCCCCUCUCUCACCCCCAAAUAUAUAGCAGAAGCUUCCACAGAAGGCAGCAUGGGGUUAAAAAGUCUGGAUCUCAGAGUUUUCCAUGUUGGGUUUGAUGCCCAGCUCUUCCACUUACUCUGUGAUGUGGGCAAGGUGCCUAUCUUCCCAAGCCCCCGCUGCGUCACCUGUAAAGUAAGCAUGCCUGUCCCACUUAGCUCACCAGGCUCUGAGGUGUUUAAGUGGGAGAAGGACACAAAACGCCCUCACCAGGCAGCACUCCAUGAACGAUGUCACUGGUGUCUGGCCAGGCUUCCCAGGUGGCACUAAUGGUAAAGAGCCCUCCUGCCAGUGCAGGAGACGUAAGAGACGCAGGUUGGCUCCCUGGGUUGGGAAGAUCUUCUGGAGGAGGGCAUGGCAACCUACUCCAAUAUUCUUGCCUGGAGAAUCCCACAGACAGAGGAGCCUGGCAGGCUCCAGUCCACAGGGUCCAAAGAGUCAGACGCAACUGCAGCGACUUAGCACACAUGCACCCUGUCUAGCCACCUAAUUCAGGUCCCUCUGAAUGAGGUCCCACUGCUGUCAAAUGUCUUUGCACCCCAGGAGUGGAAAGAACGGAACAUGCAAGACUCAGAAAACCUUGCCCUGAGGGAGCUGGUCAAGAAAAGUCUGGUGUUCAGAAGGACACUGUUUCCCACCUUCUUACUUGUGAGGAGUCUUAGGCAUAUAACAAACCCUCUUACUUUCUUUGAAAACCUUCUGGUGAGCCCAACAGAGAACCAAAGAGUCUGGUCCAGACUAAUUUCAGCCCUGGAGAACAAAGCCAAAGGCACCAACCUGCAUACACAAAACUAUCUUUACACACCAGACCUCAACAAGCUGCAGACUGGAAGUGAAUUGCUGGGGUCACUCUUUUGUGUCUCUUGUCUGAAUUGAACCUGAAUAUUGAAUCUGAUAGGUCUUCAAGAGAUCCUACAACCAUGGGGAAAGCCCCAGAACAGUGGGUCUUGAGGAAACCUCAGACAUCAACUUCAUUCUUCAGCAGGCUACACUUCAAUUGGCUUUCUGUGGCCCUCGGGAUGAGGUCAAAAUGCUGACCACAACAUAUGUGACCUCCAGCUGGCCUACAUGUUCCUUCAAGUUCCGUAAUCCACCCCAGCCCAUUUGUUGCCGUAGAGCUUGCACAAAUGCAGUCUGUCUGACAGAAAUGCUUCUCUACCUCAUCCAAACUUCACUCCUCCUUAUCCUUCAGUCUCAACUUACACAACUUUCCUCAAGAAGCCUUCCUCACUCCGCCAACUCGGUCCUAUCUUUCCAUAACACCACACACU
ensembl:lncRNA